rnacentral:rRNA from 1 species
UACGGAGGGUGCAAACGUUGCUCGGAAUCAUUGGGCGUAAAGCGCACGUAGGCGGCGUGUUAAGUCGGAUGUGAAAGCCCCGGGCUCAACCCGGGAAGUGCAUUCGAAACUGGCGCGCUUGAAUAUGGAAGAGGGUCGCGGAAUUCCCGGUGUAGAGGUGAAAUUCGUAGAUAUCGGGAGGAACACCGGUGGCGAAGGCGGCGAUCUGGGUAGAUACUGACGCUGAGGUGCGAAAGCGUGGGGAGCAAACAGG